rnacentral:rRNA from 1 species
AGUGAACGCUGGCGGUAGGCCUAACACAUGCAAGUCGAACGGCAGCACAGUAAGAGCUUGCUCUUACGGGUGGCGAGUGGCGGACGGGUGAGGAAUACAUCGGAAUCUACUUUUUCGUGGGGGAUAACGUAGGGAAACUUACGCUAAUACCUCAUACGACCUACGGGUGAAAGCAGGGGAUCUUCGGACCUUGCGCGAUUGAAUGAGCCGAUGUCGGAUUAGCUAGUUGGCGGGGUAAAGGCCCACCAAGGCGACGAUCCGUAGCUGGUCUGAGAGGAUGAUCAGGCACACUGGAACUGAGACACGGUCCAGACUCCUACGGGAGGCAGCAGUGGGGAAUAUUGGACAAUGGGCGCAAGCCUGAUCCAGCCAUACCGCGUGGGUGAAGAAGGCCUUCGGGUUGUAAAGCCCUUUUGUUGGGAAAGAAAAGCAGCAGGUUAAUACCCCGCUGUUCUGACGGUACCCAAAGAAUAAGCACCGGCUAACUUCGUG